UACGGAGGGUGCAAGCGUUGUUCGGAAUUACUGGGCGUAAAGCGUGCGCAGGCGGCCAUCCAAGUCAGUGGUGAAAGCCCGGAGCUCAACUCCGGAAUUGCCAUUGAAACUGUUUGGCUCGAGUACGAGAGAGGUGAGUGGAAUUCCCAGUGUAGAGGUGAAAUUCGUAGAUAUUGGGAAGAACACCGGUGGCGAAGGCGGCUCACUGGCUCGUAACUGACGCUCAUGCACGACAGCGUGGGGAUCAAACAGG
rnacentral:rRNA from 1 species